GACGAACCGUGCGAACGUUGUUCGGAAUCACUGGGCUUAAAGGGCGCGUAGGCGGUCAAUCAAGUCGGGGGUGAAAUCUUGCAGCUUAACUGUAAAAGUGCCUUCGAUACUGACUGACUCGAGGGAGGUAGGGGCAGGUGGAACUUCCAGUGGAGCGGUGAAAUGUGUUGAUAUUGGAAGGAACGCCGGUGGCGAAAGCGACCUGCUGGAUCUCUACUGACGCUGAGGCGCGAAAGCUAGGGUAGCGAACGGG
rnacentral:misc_RNA from 1 species